AAAACAAAGGAAAUGUUAGUCUCUACAUAGAACAAAAUUGAUUAUUUUGAAGUUUCUGCCCCUGUGAACUACCACUUGUGCCCUUAAAGUUUUCAUAUAUACAUAUCUUCAAAUGGUUUGGGAUGACAAAAUCUUUUAUGAAACGAAAUUGAACUACUUAGAGGUUUCUUCCCAGACAAUGGAUAAACAAUACCGUAUACUUGUUAGUGCAGAGACUUCUAGGCUUGUUGCUAAUGCUCUGAAGGUCUCUACCAUAGUAACAUACGCUUUUAUUUAUAAUUAUUGCCUAGUGCCGAGGUAUCGUAAAGAACUCUUUCUUUUGUAUCGGGAUAGUGCUGAAACUUAGACUGUGGCUGGGAACUACUAGAAGCGGAUUUUAAUGCGUUUUUUGUGAAAACCGCAUUUUUCACACCAAUCAGUAGUUUUUAUAUAAUUUACGUUUUUAACAAAAAAAACAGAUACGGUUUUAUGCAAAUGAUUUAGCUAUGUACCGCCUUUCCAAAUAUAUGCACUAUUUACCCUGCGGUUUUCAAGGAAAAACGCCAAAAAAUAUAUUUUUAGAUUUUUAAUAUAAUAAUAAUUAAAUAUUUUUAAUCUAAAUAAUA